rnacentral:rRNA from 1 species
GAUGAACGCUGGCGGCGUGCCUAAUACAUGCAAGUCGAGCGAACGGACGAGAAGCUUGCUUCUCUGAUGUUAGCGGCGGACGGGUGAGUAACACGUGGAUAACCUACCUAUAAGACUGGGAUAACUUCGGGAAACCGUAGCUAAUACCGGAUAAUAUUUUGAACCGCAUGGUUCAAAAGUGAAAGACGGUCUUGCUGUCACUUAUAGAUGGAUCCGCGCUGCAUUAGCUAGUUGGGAAGGUAACGGCUUACCAAGGCAACGAUGCAUAGCCGACCUGAGAGGGUGAUCGGCCACACUGGAACUGAGACACGGUCCAGACUCCUACGGGAGGCAGCAGUAGGGAAUCUUCCGCAAUGGGCGAAAGCCUGACGGAGCAACGCCGCGUGAGUGAUGAAGGUCUUCGGAUCGUAAAACUCUGUUAUUAGGGAAGAACAUAUGUGUAAGUAACUGUGCACAUCUUGACGGUACCUAAUCAGAAAGCCACGGCUAACUACGUG